rnacentral:rRNA from 1 species
GAUGAACGCUGACAGAAUGCUUAACACAUGCAAGUCUUUGGCGAAGCUGUGCUUGCACAGCCUAGCCAAGGCGGACGGGUGAGUAACGCGUAAGGAACUUGCCCUGCAGUCAGGGAUAACAGACGGAAACGACUGAUAAGACCUGGUAAAGUCAGGCGGACUCAUGUCCAGCCUGAUGAAAAGAGAUGCUGCAGGAGAGCCUUGCGUCCUAUUAGCUUGUUGGUGGGGUAACGGUCCACCAAGGCGAUGAUAGGUAGCCGGCCUGAGAGGGUAGACGGCCACAAGGGGACUGAGAUACGGCCCUUACUCCUACGGGAGGCAGCAGUGGGGAAUAUUGGACAAUGGGGGCAACCCUGAUCCAGCAAUUCUGUGUGCACGAUGAAGGUUUUCGGAUUGUAAAGUGCUUUCAGCAGGGAAGAAAAAAAUGACGGUACCUGCAGAAGAAGCGACGGCUAAAUACGUG